rnacentral:lncRNA from 1 species
ACCACGUGGAGGAAAAGCACGCGAGUUUGGAGCGGGUGGAGCAGGAACAGAGGUGGACUGGAAUGUCACACGACGGGGCAGCUGGAAGUGCACAAAAACACUCUCCACACCAAGCUGCUGCUGCUGGGGGAUGGAGGGAUGGCGUCAGCGAUUCAAGACUGUUUUUCCUACCUGUUCAGCACUUCUUUCAGCGAUAUGAAGUUAAAUCCAGUCCUCACUGUCCCCAGAAGGAAGAGAGGCACACAGCGCUCCCCAGCCGCUGGAAUCCAGGAAGAAUUGAGGUGCUCAAGACCCACCACCUCUUUGCCUGCAAACUCUAAGCUCACUGUCCUGCUCCCUUGCUCCCAGAAGUGGCACUGGAUGGAUCCCAUCCAGGUCAGCCCAGGCUGUCAUUUCCUCCCCUUCUGUACCUAAUCUCAGCGAGAUGAAGAGUUUACACCUGUUUCUCACUUGAAUUAGGGAAGUCUAGUUUGCAUUCUCCUGACUGGAUGGGCCUGCAUUGAAUCUUUCAUCUCAUUGGUCUGGGGAUUUGGUUCUGAAGACCAAUGCCUUCCAGAAUCUUCCUGUCUCUCCCCAAAUUCUGGGCGGUUCUGUUUCCAGCACUCAUCCAUGAUGGGGGGGUACAGGAAAUGAGUGUUGAGGGAAAGGCAUCCCACCUUCUCUCUGUUCCAUCUUCCAGAUCUGACAACUCACUGGAAAGUUCUUCUCUGUGUCCCUGUCCCCCGUCUGGUUCUGAGGCCGCUGCUUUCCCCAGCCUUGGUGCCUUGGGUUUUCUGCUCUGUGAAAUGAACCAGGUCCCUUAUCCUGUUCUCCCCUGAAGAAAAGAGGGUGUGGGGGGCUUGGCACAGGAAAUGGCCCUUGCCUUUCACAGGCUUUGGGGUCUGAGGGCAGCUCU